UACGUAGGGGGCAAGCGUUGUCCGGAUUUAUUGGGCGUAAAGAGCUCGUAGGCGGUCUGUCGCGUCUGCUGUGAAAACUCGGGGCUUAACCCCGAGCCUGCAGUGGAUACGGGCAGACUAGAGGUAGGUAGGGGAGAAUGGAAUUCCCGGUGUAGCGGUGAAAUGCGCAGAUAUCGGGAGGAACACCGGUGGCGAAGGCGGUUCUCUGGGCCUUACCUGACGCUGAGGAGCGAAAGCGUGGGGAGCGAACAGG
rnacentral:rRNA from 1 species